UACGGAGGGUGCAAGCGUUGUCCGGAAUCACUGGGCUUAAAGGGCGCGUAGGCGGCUCGCGAGGUCGGGGGUGAAAUCCCGCAGCUUAACUGCGGAAGGGCCUCCGAUACCGGCGGGCUGGAGGAAGGUAGGGGUGCGCGGAACUUCUGGUGGAGCGGUGAAAUGCGUUGAUAUCAGAAGGAACGCCGGCGGCGAAAGCGGCGCACUGGACCUUUUCUGACGCUGAGGCGCGAAAGCUAGGGGAGCAAACGGG
rnacentral:rRNA from 1 species